UCCUCCUUAGCUCAGUUGGCUAGAGCGUCUGACUGUUAAUCAGGAGGUCCACAGUUCAAACCUGUGAGGGGGAG